rnacentral:tRNA from 1 species
AAGGUUUUAAGUUAAAUAAAACUAUAAGCCUUCAAAGCUUAAAAUAAAAAAGAAUUUUUAAACCUUG